rnacentral:rRNA from 1 species
GAUAUGUGAAUACAUAGCAUAUCAGAAGGCACACCCGGAGAACUGAAACAUCUUAGUACCCGGAGGAAGAGAAAGAAAAUUCGAUUCCCUUAGUAGCGGCGAGCGAAACGGGAAGAGCCCAAACCAACAAGCUUGCUUGUUGGGGUUGUAGGACACUCUAUACGGAGUUACAAAGGACGACAUUAGACGAAUCAUCUGGAAAGAUGAAUCAAAGAAGGUAAUAAUCCUGUAGUCGAAAAUGUUGUCUCUCUUGAGUGGAUCCUGAGUACGACGGAGCACGUGAAAUUCCGUCGGAAUCUGGGAGGACCAUCUCCUAAGGCUAAAUACUCUCUAGUGACCGAUAGUGAACCAGUACCGUGAGGGAAAGGUGAAAAGCACCCCGGAAGGGGAGUGAAAUAGAACCUGAAACCGUGUGCUUACAAGUAGUCAGAGCCCGUUAAUGGGUGAUGGCGUGCCUUUUGUAGAAUGAACCGGCGAGUUACGAUUUGAUGCAAGGUUAAGCAGUAAAUGUGGAGCCGUAGCGAAAGCGAGUCUGAAUAGGGCGUUUAGUAUUUGGUCGUAGACCCGAAACCAGGUGAUCUACCCUUGGUCAGGUUGAAGUUCAGGUAACACUGAAUGGAGGACCGAACCGACUUACGUUGAAAAGUGAGCGGAUGAACUGAGGGUAGCGGAGAAAUUCCAAUCGAACCUGGAGAUAGCUGGUUCUCUCCGAAAUAGCUUUAGGGCUAGCCUCAAGUGAUGAUUAUUGGAGGUAGAGCACUGUUUGGACGAGGGGCCCCUCUCGGGUUACCGAAUUCAGACAAACUCCGAAUGCCAAUUAAUUUAACUUGGGAGUCAGAACAUGGGUGAUAAGGUCCGUGUUCGAAAGGGAAACAGCCCAGACCACCAGCUAAGGUCCCAAAAUAUAUGUUAAGUGGAAAAGGAUGUGGCGUUGCCCAGACAACUAGGAUGUUGGCUUAGAAGCAGCCAUCAUUUAAAGAGUGCGUAAUAGCUCACUAGUCGAGUGACACUGCGC